rnacentral:rRNA from 1 species
AUGGCGCAUCAACAUUUCCAGCAGAUUUCUGGUGAGGACCAACCGAGAUCAGUAGCGCUGAACUGGGAUGAACUAGGCUUGGAACAGGUUGAUCUUGCUGGUUUGGAUGAAGAGUUCACGAUGGAGGAAAUAAAGCAAGCCAUCGACGGGAUUCCAGCGGAUAAGGCACCGGGGCCUGAUGGCUUUUCCGGUGGUUUCUUCAAGCGAUGCUGGGAAGUAAUCAAGCUUGACUUGUUCGCAGCGCUAAACCAACUGUUCCGCAUGGACAGGAGGGGACUAGCAAGAGUUAAUAAGGCCAUCAUUGUUCUCAUCCCAAAGAAACAAGGUGUUGAGACGCUACAAGAUUUCAGGCCAAUCUCACUUAUACAUAGUUUGCUAAAGAUCUUCACUAAGCUUCUUGCGCGGCGGCUUGCACCGAAAUUGAAGGAUCUGGUCGAUCAAUGCCAGAGCGCUUUCAUUAAGAAACGCAGCAUACAGGAAAACUUCUUGUAUGUCCAGAACACGGCAAGAUACCUCCACAAGAACAAACAGCCAUCAAUUCUGCUAAAGUUGGACAUUGCCAAGGCCUUCGACUCGAUCUCCUGGACGUACCUGAUCGAUAUGCUCGAAGCUAGAGGAUUCGGGCCGCGCUGGCGCGAAUGGAUUGCCAUGUUGUUGCACACCUCGGCAUCACGCGUGCUGAUCAAUGGUCAGCAAACAGAUGAUAUUUUACAC